CCCCCGAUAGCUCAGUUGGAAGAGCGCGAGACUGUAAUGGAUAAAAGAUCAUCUUGAGGUCGCUGGUUCGAUCCCGGCUCGGGGGA
rnacentral:tRNA from 2 species